rnacentral:lncRNA from 11 species
CCCAGAGGCAACUUAUCCAAGGCGAGAACCAAUCAGAGCGAGAGAACGGCGAGGCGGAGACUACAUUUCCCAGAAAGCCCCGCACGCAGCGCUUUCACUGUUAAAUACCAGGUACCUUUUACAACACCAUAAAUAACAAGACCAGAAAUGUGGAGACCAAGGGGA